rnacentral:rRNA from 2 species
ACCACUUCGGUGGGGAUUAGUGGCGAACGGGUGAGUAACACGUGGGCAAUCUGCCCUUCACUCUGGGACAAGCCCUGGAAACGGGGUCUAAUACCGGAUAUCACUCCCGCAGGCAUCUGCGGGUGUCGAAAGCUCCGGCGGUGAAGGAUGAGCCCGCGGCCUAUCAGCUUGUUGGUGAGGUAAUGGCUCACCAAGGCGACGACGGGUAGCCGGCCUGAGAGGGCGACCGGCCACACUGGGACUGAGACACGGCCCAGACUCCUACGGGAGGCAGCAGUGGGGAAUAUUGCACAAUGGGCGAAAGCCUGAUGCAGCGACGCCGCGUGAGGGAUGACGGCCUUCGGGUUGUAAACCUCUUUCAGCAGGGAAGAAGCGAAAGUGACGGUACCUGCAGAAGAAGCGCCGGCUAACUACGUGCCAGCAGCCGCGGUAAUACGUAGGGCGCAAGCGUUGUCCGGAAUUAUUGGGCGUAAAGAGCUCGUAGGCGGCUUGUCACGUCGGGUGUGAAAGCCCGGGGCUUAACCCCGGGUCUGCAUUCGAUACGGGCUAGCUAGAGUGUGGUAGGGGAGAUCGGAAUUCCUGGUGUAGCGGUGAAAUGCGCAGAUAUCAGGAGGAACACCGGUGGCGAAGGCGGAUCUCUGGGCCAUUACUGACGCUGAGGAGCGAAAGCGUGGGGAGCGAACAGGAUUAGAUACCCUGGUAGUCCACGCCGUAAACGGUGGGAACUAGGUGUUGGCGACAUUCCACGUCGUCGGUGCCGCAGCUAACGCAUUAAGUUC